rnacentral:ncRNA from 2 species
UGGAAGUAAAAGUCGUAACAAGGUUUCCGUAGGUGAACCUGCGGAAGGAUCAUUACCUAGAGUUGUAGGCUUUGCCUGCUAUCUCUUACCCAUGUCUUUUGAGUACCUUCGUUUCCUCGGCGGGUCCGCCCGCCGAUUGGACAAUUUAAACCAUUUGCAGUUGCAAUCAGCGUCUGAAAAAACUUAAUAGUUACAACUUUCAACAACGGAUCUCUUGGUUCUGGCAUCGAUGAAGAACGCAGCGAAAUGCGAUAAGUAGUGUGAAUUGCAGAAUUCAGUGAAUCAUCGAAUCUUUGAACGCACAUUGCGCCCCUUGGUAUUCCAUGGGGCAUGCCUGUUCGAGCGUCAUUUGUACCUUCAAGCUCUGCUUGGUGUUGGGUGUUUGUCUCGCCUCUGCGCGCAGACUCGCCUCAAAACAAUUGGCAGCCGGCGUAUUGAUUUCGGAGCGCAGUACAUCUCGCGCUUUGCACUCAGAACGACGACGUCCAAAAGUACAUUUUUACACUCUGAC